rnacentral:rRNA from 1 species
AUUGAACGCUGGCGGCAGGCUUAAUACAUGCAAGUCGAGCGGAUGAAAGUAGCUUGCUACUGGAUUCAGCGGCGGACGGGUGAGUAAUGCUUAGGAAUCUGCCUAUUAGUGGGGGACAACGUUCCGAAAGGAGCGCUAAUACCGCAUACGUCCUACGGGAGAAAGCAGGGGACCUUCGGGCCUUGCGCUAAUAGAUGAGCCUAAGUCGGAUUAGCUAGUUGGUAGGGUAAAGGCCUACCAAGGCGACGAUCUGUAGCGGGUCUGAGAGGAUGAUCCGCCACACUGGGACUGAGACACGGCCCAGACUCCUACGGGAGGCAGCAGUGGGGAAUAUUGGACAAUGGGGGGAACCCUGAUCCAGCCAUGCCGCGUGUGUGAAGAAGGCCUUUUGGUUGUAAAGCACUUUAAGCGAGGAGGAGGCUACCUAGAUUAAUACUUUAGGAUAGUGGACGUUACUCGCAGAAUAAGCACCGGCUAACUCUGUGCCAGCAGCCGCGGUAAUACAGAGGGUGCGAGCGUUAAUCGGAUUUACUGGGCGUAAAGCGUGCGUAGGCGGCCAAUUAAGUCAAAUGUGAAAUCCCCGAGCUUAACUUGGGAAUUGCAUUCGAUACUGGUUGGCUAGAGUAUGGGAGAGGAUGGUAGAAUUCCAGGUGUAGCGGUGAAAUGCGUAGAGAUCUGGAGGAAUACCGAUGGCGAAAGCAGCCAUCUGGCCUAAUACUGACGCUGAGUACGAAAGCAUGGGGAGCAAACAGGAUUAGAUACC